rnacentral:rRNA from 1 species
UACGGAGGGUGCAAGCGUUAUCCGGAUUCACUGGGUUUAAAGGGUGCGUAGGUGGGCAGGUAAGUCAGUGGUGAAAUCCUGGGGCUCAACCUCAGAAUUGCCUCCGAUACUGGCAGUCUCGAGUGCGGGAGAGGUGAGUGGAAUUCCCAGUGUAGAGGUGAAAUUCGUAGAUAUUGGGAAGAACACCAGUGGCGAAGGCGGCUAACUGGUCCAGAUCUGACGCUGAGGUGCGAAAGCGUGGGGAGCAAACAGG